GAUGAACGCUAGCGGCAGGCUUAAUACAUGCAAGUCGUGGGGCAGCAUGAGUAGCAAUACUUGAUGGCGACCGGCAAACGGGUGCGGAACACGUACACAACCUUUCGAUACGUGGGGAAUAGUUCAGAGAAAUAUGGAUUAAUACGCCGUAACAUAUAGAGUAGGCAUCUUCUUUAUAUUAUAUCUUAGGCGCUUAUUGAUGGGUGUCCGUCUGAUUAGGUAGUUGGCGGGGUACCGGCCCACAAAGCCUACGAUCAGUAGCGGAUGUGAGAGCAUGAUCAGCCACACGGGCACUGGGACACGGGCCCGACUCCUACGGGAGGCAGCAGUAAGGAAUAUUGGACAAUGGGCGAAAGCCUGAUCCGGCCAUGCCCCGUGAAGGAUUAAGGUCCUCUGGAUUGUAAACUUCUUUUAUUUGGGACGAAAAAAGGGAAUUCUUUCACACUUGACGGUACCAAGUGAAUAAGCACCGGCUAACUCCGUGCCAGCCGCCGCGGUAAAAC
rnacentral:rRNA from 1 species